AUUUUAUUUUCAGAGGUAACAUGGCGCCUUUUAGAUCUCAUUACGAUUCAUUUCUGUUCAUGAGAAAUAAUUCUAUUCAACGACGACGGUUUGCGAACGAGCAGGACGGAUUAUUUUCUGACGAUGCAAGAGUAAGUUUACUAAGAAGAGAUGCAACGGAUCCUGAGGUUCCUGAUCCCGUUGCUCCGGCCUGGGCAGGACGGGUUGAGGGAUUAAACUAUCAGAUCUCAAGGGUUGAGAAAAAGGUUGAAGAACUUGAUGUUCUCCAUAAAACCCAUCUCUCCCGACCCAACCUGGAUGAUGAGGACGGAGAAGAAAGAAAUAUUCAGAAACUAACUCAGGAAGCUACAACGAUGUUUACUGGUUGUCAGCGUCAGUUAAAGCAGCUGCAGGAGAUGAGUAGAAGAGCAGGAGGGAAGGAGGGAAUCAUUGUCAGAAAUAUUGUUAUUAAUCUAGUCAACAGAUUGCAAGAAAUUACAGGAAAAUUUCGAGUUAGCCAAGGAGAUUAUCUUAGAAGAAUAAAAGCGAGAGAGGAAAGAUCAGAGCAAUAUUUUUCCUCUUUUCAAGGAGAGGACGAUGACGGUUUAUUGAUGGACGAACCUGCCCGUGUACCUUGGUCAAAACAGGACUUUAUUCAGUUUGAAGAAAAUAACAAAUUUUUGAGAAAGCGUGAGGCUGAAAUUACUCAUAUAGUUGAAUCAAUACAGGAUUUAAAUACAGUAUUCAAGGAACUGGCACAGAUGGUGUCCGAACAGGGUGAGAUCGUAGACAGGAUAGAUUACAAUAUAGAGUCAGCUGGGUUCAAGGUGGAACAGGGUCUUAAACAAUUACAGAAAGCAGAGAAAUAUCAGAGUAAAAACCGAAAGAUGAAAUGUAUUCUCCUUCUGACUGGUGUAUUCAUCUUCCUCGUUCUUAUUCUCAUCAUAUCUAAAUCUUAGACAAACUUGCUUUUUUAUUAAUUGAUUGAUUGAUUACCUCAAUUUUGAUAUUGUUAAUAUUAUUUAAUUAGAUUUUACUUAGUUUUUUUGUUGCCUUAUGCUAAUUAUCGAAGUUUAUUAAAACAAGGUUAUAGUUCAGAAUAGAACCCGGCUGAAAAGAUAUUAAAAAAAAUAUUUAGAAUGUUUCGUUGUUGAUUUUAUACCUGUCCCGAGAUUUUAAAAGUAGAAACAUAAAAGAUUUUACGAAAAUAACAAUCAUCAGCUUCUGAAGACUCAAGCCUUAAAGAGGGUAAAACCCAAGAGGGUUGGUUCUUACUAAACUCAAGGCCAUCCAAAACCCGGGUCUUUACUUGAGCUUUACUUGGGUCUAAGCAGACGCAAAGACCGGGUUUUAGUCGGGUUUAAGCUUUUAAAAUCUCAUCUCUGGAUACCAUGUACUUGGUAUAAGCAGUAAUUAAUCGCUAUUCUGAAAGUGCAUUGUUGUCCCAACAACAACUUUGCCAAAUAAAUUUUCUAACCUUUGA
rnacentral:misc_RNA from 1 species